rnacentral:lncRNA from 1 species
UUUUAAAAUUAUAUGACAUAUAACUAUGACAUUUUCUGCUGCCAAAGGCCUGUCAUAUGAUCAAUCCACUGAUAUAUACAGAAAUUUGUUAUUUUUAUUUUUUAUUCAUUCUCUUACUCAACACAAAACUAACAAGUGACUGUUGUUAUCCAAGACUAGUGUAAGACAACAGGAAGUUUUAGAAAAUUAAUUACAUUGUCUUUGCUUUUCCAGUGAAUUUUAAGCACACUAGCUUUUUUUUCUUAGAAUUUCCCUAUUAAAAAUGAGUGUUCUCUCCGUUUUGAAUUGAUGUCAUCAUUUCCCUGAAAUAUAUUUUUUUAAAGUCGCUCUCUCUCUCUUUUUUUGACUGCUCUUGGUGACUUGAUCUUUCAAUGAGAUAAUAAAAUUCUAAGAUCUAUUACUCUAAUUAUAAGAAUGCCAGGCUUAAAUUUAUUCUCUAGUUAAUUUAAAGAGAAAUGUACUUUUUCAUCUUUAAAAAUCAUAGUCCUCCUAUAAGCAGAGGUGUUAAUAAAAUAUAGUUGCAAGUAAAACUUCAUUUCCUGAACUACCCGAGAUUAUCCUGUUUAGUGUACUAAAAAUUACAUGGAAAACAUGGCAUACAUUGAUAAUGUUGAGUAAUAACCUGAGUCAAAAUAUACAGGGAUUCCAGAAAUGAAGUUCCAAAAUUGAAGAGGGUUCAAUUUUGAAUGGGAUAUGUGAGUCAUUAUAUUCUGAGAAAGAACAUUUCAGCCUUCACCCUUUGAAAAGGUGUAAGUCAAACAUAUAAAUGGAACAUAGAUGUUAAACUCUGACUGGAAUAAAUGUUUGGUUUAAUUGGCUUUUGCAUCCAGAUGGUCACGAUUUUGGCAAGUCCAUUUUCUUAUGAAUAUUUAUCACAGUAUUUUAGGGAAUCAAUACAUUGACAUAAACAUUGAAGAUAGAGACCUUUGUGUGUGUGUGUCUGUGUAUAUAUAUAUAUAUAUAUAUAUAUAUAUAUAUAUAUAUAUAUAUAUACACAGACACACACACACAAACACACACACACACAUUUUUUUUUUAAUUGAGAUACUUGUACUUGGAAAAUUAGCUUUUAUUUUAUAGUAGAAGAAAGUGUCACAACAGAGAUCUACAUUUCAGGCAAGAUAAGCUGUUAUUUUAACUCAUUCAUUUCUAAAAUACUAAUUUACAUAUGGAUGAAUAUUUAUAAAAGCAGGUUAUUCCAAAAUUUCAGUAUCAUUUUUGACAAAAGUGUUUGUUUUUUUAAAAAUGAUAUAUGUAAUGCUUCACCUGCACAUUCUUUUGCAAACAUAUUUUAAAAGAAAAACCUUUACUGCCAGAAAGUGUACUAUUUUAAUUGCAAUUAGACUUGUGUGAUAACCAUCAAGCUGGUGCCUAACUCUAAAAGGAUUUUUCCAACUGUUCUGUGGCUUCUUAGGCAACUAUCACCAAGUAAUUACAAUGAUUAAAUGAGCUACAAGAUUGAAACCUUCUAAAAUAUGUAGACUUCAGGAAUAAAAUGUGAAAUAACACUUGUUCAUUAAAUAUAUUAAUAAAAAUAUAAUGUAAUUUUUGGAAAUAAAAAAAUCAUUGAUACAAGCAUUCAUUUAAAUACAUGUAGUUCACAUUUCAAUCAUAUAAAAGUAUAGACAAUUUGGUAAACUAAUUUAGAACCAAGCAACAGUUAGAGUAACCUUAGUAUCAAAGACAUCGUUAAGUAGAAUUUGGCAUGGAACUUACUUGAGUAUUGCCCUGUCUGUAGUAACCAAUUUCUAUAGAUAACUACAAAUAUAGCAAUCAUACCAUUACUCAGUGAGUCAUUUUGAUGGAUUAACAGUUUCAGUUACUUGUUUAUUAAGUUUUCAUAAGUGACUAUGCAUUGUAUACCAGAGAAAAUAAACCAAUAGUGGUUAUUAAAAUGAAUAUUUACAUAGGCGUGUUUUCAUUUGAGGCUACAAUAAUAUCUAUUCAAAACUGUUUAUACUUUUCAAAAUUUCAUUUAACAUCUUGAGAAUUUAGUUUUGUCCUCUGAAAAUUAGAUAAUUGGAAUCAGAAAUUUUUCCAUUUCUAUUAUUAAAAAUUGAACUACAGCUUUUAUGAAUCACUUAGGGAAACAUCACUCUUUGGCAGGUUUCCUCUUACCACCCAGCAUCCAUCUGGUCUACUUCUUUCUAUCAUCAGUUGAUAUAUGUUCAAACAGUUCAAAUCAAUGUUAACAUUGGCUUAAGAAAAUCAGUGUCAAACUAAGUCACAUGGUUCAGUGUCUCUUGUGUCUCUUGACAGUUGCAGGAUCUCCACUGUUUAUCACUCUCUGAGAUUCACUUUGAUAACAGAGCAUUGUCCUUCUGUUGUUGUUGUUUUGUUUUUUGAACCCAGAUGUGCUUUACCUCUAAGUUUCAUCACAGCUCUUUUUAUUUUUUUAUUUGGAGACAGGGUUUCUCUAAGUUGCUUAGGGCCUUCCUAACUUGUGGAGGCUGGUCUCAAACUUUUAAUCUUCUUACCUCACAUCCCCCAAUCCCUGGGAUAACAGGCAUGCACCACCACACCUACCUAAAGUUUUAUCUUUAUAUUCUUUGAGAUCUCUGCUUAAUUUCCUAAACUGGAAAAUCAUACUUUUCUCCUAAAUAAGAAAAUUACAAAACUGUAAAUUCUCAAGCAGAUUAUUGGUAUUUACAGUUUAAUUGAAAUUAUCAACUUAAAAUAAGUACAUAAAUGUCAAUUUAAAUAAGGGAAAUUACUAUUAUUGUGUUUAAUUUUCUGUAGUAAGGUAUUAAGGUGAAUUUAGUAGUUCAACACAUAGUUUUGAGAAAAUGUAUAAAUAUAAUAAAAAUAUGCAAAACUGAUAAUUUUGACUGAUAUUAUCAACAAUUAGGAUAAGUCUUAGCAGAGCUAGUUAAACCAAAUAAUUCUCAUUUAGGCAGUCUGUUCAUUCUAGAAAAAUAGAGUAAAAUCAUAGAAAUAAUCUGAAUAAUCAGAAUUGCCAGUCUAUUGCUGAAGGAAAAUCAAAUUUAGGAUUCAGAGAACAGAAUUGCAGGUUAGUUGAAAAUAGUUCCCAAAUAUACUACCUGCAUGUCUAACAAAUAAAAUUGGGUUGCAUGGACAUAAGUUAAAAUUGUGUUUUGUCAUAUAGAAGAACCUAUAUAUUCUUUUCAGAAUAAUGCAGAAACGUGGAGCCACAGACAGCUCUGAAACCUGCACAGCACCAGAGGCAUCUCUCCUGCUGUAAUAUCCCAAUUACUGAGGAAUCUCUCCAAUUAUUUGAAAUUAUCACAACCAACUGCAUUGUGCUGCUGCUUCUUAAAAAACUUUGGGAAAGCCAAACCCUUUUAUUGAUGUUGAUAAAUAUAUAGUAGAUUAUUUUACACUGUGGGUGAAUGGAAUUCAGAGUCAUUUUAUGCAUUUGGGAAGUUCACAUUGGCAGAGGAGCUAUAGUUCCAGAAAUGCCAAAUUUUGGCAGCAGUCACUUUUUUGUUUAUCUUAUUAAGUAGCCUCUUCUAGUGCUCAUACACUGAAUUUUCAGCAUCAAAUACGCCUUCCUUAAAAUGUUCUAGACACUUCUAUUUUUAAGAGGGAGUAUAAUUAUAGUUGGGCAAACAAAUCAUACAAAGAACAUAAAUUCAGGAAAAAAAAGUUUCCCUUCAUAUGCUGUAGUCCUUCAAGUAUGCCAAAAUAUAUCUCAAAUAUGUCAUGCAAAAGUGGGGCAUUUUGAAUAAUGCUUUCUUUAGUUUUAAGACUCUAGUACCUGGAUCAUUCAGUUCUGCUCUUAUAAUGCAUCAUGUUGGCUUUCAAGACAAAACAGUGAAUUCCAGUGUUUUUCAUAUUAAGACAUUGUGUGGUUCCCUAUUGGAGAAGCAGAUCUGUAUAGUCAAGAAUAAAGGUGGGGAAAAUAUAUAAAAUUCAUAAAAUCUAAAGGUUCAUUGAAAGUAACAUUUAAAUAAAGUUGGUUUAGAAGUGACAUAAAUAUUUUUUUGUCUUUGACAACCAAUUUCACCACAAAAUAAGAGAUAUUUCAAUAUCAGCAUCACACCCAAUGACAGUAAACGUGGUGCUGUUGUAAAUACAUCUCUACCCCUUGCUUCUUUCUAUGCACAUUCUUCCAACUGCUCACAUCAAAGAUCUGUGUCCCCACAAUUAGUGACAGCUUCAAUAGUAAUAGCCCCUGUAUGCUUUUCUUUUCUCACAUUCAAAAAGGACAAUUGUUUAUCAUUUCUGGUGACUAUAGUAAAUAUGUUUAUAGUUACAAAGAAAAUUCGAGAAAACUUCUUUGUAGUAUCAAAUGAUUUAAUCAGUGCCUGCAUAAACCUAAUUGUUUCUUAAUCAAGUACGCGAGAUUAUCUAAUUUGAAGGCCAGAUUGUCCAUUUAUUAUGCAGAUUUUGUCCAUACAUGCAAAAGUGAUAUAAAUAAUAUCAAGGCUAAAUUAAAUAUUAUAAUAUCAAUUAAAUUAUAUAUGUGCAUAUAUACACAUAUAUAUUAUUGGAGAAUAACCAUAUGCUCCAUAGACAUGUGAUGCUUUUUAAAUAUUUGUUCCAUGAAUAUAUGCUCAUUAGAAGGCUACUAAAAAUAAAAUCCAAAAAUACUUGAAUAGUACUAAUACAUAAGAUAGCCAAUUAUAAGGAAUAUACAACAAAAAUAUAAAAGAAAAAAAUAGAGUUUUGUCAAUAAAAUGCCCCAGGAUUUUUGCAUAAGACAUAAUUUAUCUGUUUGUAGUCGUAAUUGAUUGAAUGAAAUAUAAGCAGUCUCUGGAAAGGUGAGAAGCUGGUCAGGUCAAGAUUUAAAACCUGUAAGUUCAUGGAACAUUUGUCAAGUAAGCCUCUCUGGGAACAAUGCAGCAAAUCACAGCUAUUUGAUCAAUCAAGUCAGUUCUCUAUUGUAAAAGUACAAAGAGAUGUCGUCACUGGAAUCUGAUUUGGAAUUGGAUGCUUGUAGAUUAAUGAAUUUCUAUAGACUCUGCCUUCCAAUGUUUUGCCUGGAAAAGAAGUAAAUUCAUUAGGAAUUUGGAUAGAAACAACAUCAGAAAACCGUGAUAAAGCUAGAGUAGUGUUCAUAUGAGAAGGAGCUAACCUUAAAAAGAAUAAACUUGUUGAUGCUAUGUUAUUGAAAUGAAAACUAAUUAUUUAGUACUUUAACAUGAUUAGUCAUUAUUACUAAAAAUUUGAACAUACUUUUAAAUACAUGUAAAAAGUAACAGGCCAAAAUAAUCUAUAAUAAUUUCAACAAAAUAACAAAUCAUUUCUUAGGAGAAAUGGAAGAUAUUUUGGGCUCUGUAAAAAUAUUCACUUUGGCACCAUUAUCUCUUUAUUUCUAGAAACUCCAUUUAUAAUGGUAUGAAACUAGGUUUCCAACACCAGAUAAUAAUAGCUGAUGUUUACUUAGUGUUCACUAUGUACAUAGUAUUAUUCUUUGUACUUUACAUGUGUUAAAUCAUUAAAUAGGACCACCUACUUUAAGACAGGUAUUAUUAUUAUUUUCCCCAUUUUAGGUUUCAGGUUACAGCUUCAUGAUGAAGGGAAGACUGUGAAAUUCCAGCUUUAGUGGUCUGAUGCCAGAGACAUGUCUCUUAGCUCCUAAGCUAUAUCGCCUCUAUCAUUAAACUUUUUUGGUUUUUAUACUGUGGGUUGAAUCCAGGGAUGCUUUCCCACUGAGCUACAUCACUUGCCCUUCUUAUUUUUAUUUUGAGACAGGGUCUCUCUAAGUUUUUGAGGCUGGCCUCAAACUUAUUAUUCUCCCACUUCAGCCUCCAGAGUUGCUGGGAUUAUAGGUAUGCACUACAUGUCUGGCUUUUACUUUUAUUUAAAAAAUAAAAUUGUGGUACAGCAGCAAAAGUCAGUUGUGCCAUGCCACAGUCUGGCUGGGCACAAAUGCCGCAGUCUGGCUGGGCACACAAUCACGAGCCACCACACAGCUUGUAGAUUCAAACAGCAACUCUUUAUUCCCGAACUCACACCAGCCGUCUACAAUCACGUUCUGGGGAAAUCCACGUUCUCUGCCCAAAUCCACGUUCUCUGUCCAAAUCCACCUCCACUGGGCUUCUGUCUCCCAAAAUAUACUGUCUGAAUCCCGUGAGAACUCAAGGGGAACUCAGGCAGCAGGAUAUGCCCUAUUCCCAGCAGGAAUAAUCUUAAACCUUAAACCUGGAACCUAAACUGGGAACGCCCUAAACAAGAUUAUCUUAAAACCGGGAACACCCUAAUCUGCCUUGGUCCUUGAGCAAGGUCACGUACAUUCAAUGUCACUGCAACAUGGGGUACGCUGGCAAGGAAAUUGUCAUACCAACUUGGCUAAUGGCUCCCAGCAGUGCCACAAAUAAUUUAUUUGUUGAAAGGGUAAAAUUGGAUAGCUGAAGUCUAUUUUUAUUUUCACUACUUCAGUGUAUAAAAUUUGUACACAUGGCAUGAUGAUACAACUACACCUGAGGCAUUAGGAAAUUCUUCACAGUUUACAAUGAGCAUUCAUAGACACUAGUAAGAGGAGUAACUGGCAUUUGUAUCUUUUAGGCAGUGGGAUUUUAGAUAUUUUCCCCAAACAAUAGAUUUUAGCAAUGAAUUUAAAGUAAUUUUCUUCUCUCAAAAUAGAACAGUUUGUGAUUAUUUUUAUUUUAAACUACUCUUUGUAUCAGAGAAGAAAUCUAGAAGAGUAGGAGAUCAAACUUCAAUAACAAGUAGAUCUCACUUCUGUACUAGACUAGGAUGAUGCUUUCUAGUUUUUUUUUUUUUCUUUUCAACCUUUAUUCUAGCCCCUGUUCCUGAAUUGUUCAGAAACACCAACCAUCAUCCACCUCUGUACAAACUUGCCAGCAAAGAUCAACAUGGGCCUUCCCCCAGCUUAUCUGUCCUGCAUGGGAAAGCACAUCUUUAUGUCUAUUUAUAAACAUGCAUAUAAUAAAAAUCUUUAUUGUUAUUUAUAAAAUUUGAAUGAUUGUCCUAGAGUAGGUUUUCCUCUCUUAUCACCCACAAACACAAAAAUUAUUCAGCUAUUUUAUACAGUUCCCCAAAUGUAUCAUAUUACUGACUACUUUAUACUUUCCUUACUAAAACUCUUUCAACAAUUCAUGAUAAAUAUUUGUCAGCCAUGUGUUCAACUUUCAGUAUCCCUCUUAUGCCUGAUAAUGGAAGAGAACCAUUUUAGUAUAGUAAAAUUAAAUUUGUUUAUCACGGAUUAUCACAAUUAAUGCUUUUUAAUAAAACGUCCAGGUGAGAAUGCUACAGUUUUAAACUGAGGUGAAAUUGAAGGCAAAAAUGAAAUAAUUGAGAGUUAUAGAUGAACAGCUUUCCCUAUUCCAAAUUUGGCAAAGGUAAUUGAUUCUUGAAAUUACAUGUUUACCUUUUAUCCAUUGUAUAUACUUUUGGAUCAUGGAAUCACUUUCGUGCAUGUUUUUAUUAUUUAGAACAUAAAUGAACAUAAAUUCUGUCACAUUCCUAGAAAACAAAAUUAGAUCUUCCUGUUUAAAGAAGAAUUUCUUAAUAUAAGAUGAGCAGAUUUAUUUGUAACUCCAAAGACCUAUAGUUUUGAAAUUCACAUUACUUACAUUUUGAUUGUGAUGACUCAGUUUUCUCAAAAGCUUGGUUUGAGAUCUAUUUGGAGGCUUGAUGACUCUUGCUGAUAAACAUUAAUAGAAAAAUUUCAUUAGUCUAUUUAAAGAGCAGUACUGAACAUGUUAAUUGAAGUUAGAGUUGAUAUUGUUAGACCAUAAGAUGUUGGACAUACUUUCUAUUGUCUGUUGAUACAGGAAAGGGAAAUUCACGUAUUAAUUUGUUAAUAAACUAGAGUUUCAGGGUUUUCUUUGUUUAAAUUAGGAAGGUAAAAUAUUAGAAAGGCAUUAUUUUUAGAUAUAAACUGGAUAAUGCAGGAAUAUUUGCUUGGUACUUAGUGAUAAAUUUCAAUGUGAGGAAGAGUUUUUUUUUUCCAUUUGUUUCAUGUCAUGUGUAAGAGAAGUAUUGUUCCAUAUUUUUGUAAUGGAACUCAUGUUUUGUCAGACAAAACAUAAAAACAAACACUCAAGUAAUCUCAUUUUAGCAAAUUUUGGUGGAAGUAUAUACAGCUGUUUUGGUUUCACUAUAGGUUAUAGUCUUCUGGUACAACUCGUAGUUUGGGUGUGGAAAUCUAAACUCUGUCAUAUGCACAUGAAUACAGUAACCUAAUAUGAUAUGUUGAUUCAGCUUUCUAUAUUGCUUAAAAUAUUGUAGGAGUUGUCCUUUAUCUAGGGGCUAAAUAUAUAAGGCUUUGUGCAGAAAUAGAUUAAUUUUGCAUUGACAUUCUGGAUGUUGGUGAUAAUUUGUAGUGACAUUAUGCCUAUUGGUUAUGAUUGUGACAGACAGGCAGACUUGAUCCAAAUGGACAUUCCAAGAGCCAAAUUUAAUAGUCUUAGCAUUGAAAAUUCCUGCCUUAAGGAAAGCAAAAGCUUUUCAACAUAUAUAUUGUCUUUUACUUCCAUAAUCAUGGAUUAAUACACAUCAAUUCUAGGCAGUUGAGCAAUGACAUGGUAGGAUUAAUGCACCGGACAAUAUUUUGCAAAUGUAGUAAAAAUUCUGUAGUGUUUUUAUAUAGUGAUGUGGUAGACAAUGUAAAUGGCACCAGCUCCUGACCUUCAUAGACUCAGAAUUGCAAAAGCAUAGAUUAAAAAAAAAAGUGGAAAAGAAUUGUGUAACUAAUGCUCACAUAAUAUUUCUCAUCAAAUACAUUAAUACUUUUUCAUAAAUAUCAGGAAUUGGUUUAACUGACUGACCCAAUAUUGUACAGUGUAAAAUUCUACCCAUUUAAUUUUAAUCACUUUUAUUUCUUAAAAGUUAUUUAUAGAGAGCUGGGCACAUUAGCCCAUUAACACUGUAAUCCCAGCUAUUGGGUAUGCCUAGGUAGGAGGAUUGCACACUAAGAGACCAAUCUGAGCAAUUUAGCAAGACCCUUGUCUCAAAAUUAAAAAAAAAAAAAACAAAAACAAAAUUAAAAGGGCUGAUGAUGUAGCUCAGUGGUAGAGAGCCCUGGAUUCAAUACCUGUACCACAAAACAAAAUGGAAUGCUUAGUUCAUGGCCACAAUUGGGAAAUUAGAUUAGAUGGAAAAAUGAAUAUACACAAAAUAUCUCAUAUAAUCAUUUAUAUUUUGCUUUAUGAAAUGUUCUUGAAAAGAUUAUUUUAUGCCAUUCUAAAAUUUUAAUAAAAAUAUUUUAUCUUUAAUAUAUAGAAGGCUUCACAAUUCCCAAUUUUAGUUUGUUUCUUUGUUUUUGUUUUUCAAACUAAGCAGCUUGUCUAUCAUAUUUAGAAUUAUGGCACUAUUUUCUACUACCGAAGCUGUGUAUAUUUUUUCACAUAUUUUGAAAACUUAGUAAUUACAUUGCAAAUAAAUUUUCCUUUGUUUUGUUUUGGGUGGGAGGUAUCAUACUCAAGCAAAUGCUGUACCACUGAGCCACAUUCCCAGCCCUGCACAUAUUUUCAUAUAGGUUUCUGAUGGGAGUACUAUUCUUUAGGUUUUUGAAAAUGUGAUUUGGGGUUUUUGUUUUUGGAAAGGUCUUUUAAGUAUAGCAUGUAGACCUCUUUUCCUUAAAUGCAUGAAUUCUGUUUUUUAAUCACAAAAUGUAUUUGAAUGCUGUGCAAGGAUUAGAAAUAGUGAACUAUAGCAACAACAGAAUCACUUUUUGUAUCAGUUUUAUAGUCCCAUAUCACUUAGGGAAUGACAUUCUUAAUAAUUCCCAGUAUUUUUAAAGGUUGCUCUCUAAGUUACCUCUUGAAAUAGUAAUUCUAAAGCUAAAGGGAUCAGUACUAUGCCAAAUUUAAUUAUUUGACAAAGAGAUGAAUAACAACUGUGUUAAUCAUGCUACAUCUUGGGCAAUUGUGAAAGAUUUUCUUGAAUUAUAAAAUCUACUAACAAUGGUGAUGGAGUUCUAAAUGCAGAUAGUAAAAUGAUUAGCUUUAAGUUUUUAAUAAUUUUUCUACCAAAUUUAGAAAUAUUUGUAGCUUGUAAAACCCUUUUAUUUAACUUCCAUAAAUCAAAGAAUUAAAGGAUACUUGAGAAUUUUUAUUAAUUUCUAACAUUAUGAGAGUGGUAAAACCACUGAUACAUCUUAUUUAGUUGGAAUAUGUACAUAUGUUUUGGUUAAAUGAAUCAUUGUUUUACUACUCUCAGCAACUUAAUGUAUAGUAUUGAGAAAACAUAGCAACUUGUUAAUUAACCCCUGUUACCCCUGUUAAUUUUACAGGACAAAAAAUAAGAUACUCUUUGUCAAUCACAUAGUUACUUGAAAUAUAUUUAAUCCUUUUAUUACCCUGGAAAUAUGUCCCCUCAACACACACACAUUCAUACACACACUCACACACAAUGCAAAUGUGAACAAAAGGAACUAAGAAGUGAGUACAUUCCUUCUUCCCAUAAACAGAAGGUUAAUAGCUCUGACAUCAUUUAUCUCUGACUGAGAAUAAAGUUGCCAUGGUAAGUAAGGCAAAGGUCAUGCUUUACAGGUUUAUGCCAAACUAAAAAUAGAUUCAUGUGUACCCUCCAUAGAGGCUCCCUAAUGUCAAUUGACUUCUUGCAGAAAGUGUACAUGCUUUCUAUUCUGACAAAUCAAAAGGUAAUUUAGUGAGUUUUAGAGAUUAACUGGGCGCUUGACAUGUGGCACUAUUCCAUUCAAAGAAUGAGUGUUUGGUAGUGGAGAGAUUUAGGAUAAGUUAACUUGUCUUGCUUGAUUUUAGGUAUAGUAAUAUCCUAGUAAUCUAAAAGUGUAAACAUGCAACUUCAGUUUACUUACAGUAGAUUUCCCAUACUGUUUUUGUGGUCCAGAUGUAAAAAAUGACAAUUUUAACAGUAUUCACCUGGUCAUUCUACAAUGGUGUUCUGAUAUUGCCCAGCAUUUUUUUGUAGAGAUAGCCUUCUAACUAUUGUCCAUUAAUUAAAUGCAAAGUAUAUCUUUUUACUCAUUAUUCCUUAAGUAACUUUUAGAGAAUGAACAUAAAGUGAGCCCUCUCCCCUCAUCACCACCCCAAGAUAGAUUUGUAUGUUUAUUUCUUUUUCCUUUCUCUUUCAUUUAUGUAAAGAAUCCUAUAGAAAAUAAAAUAAUUGUUUUCAAGUUAAAAUGAAAAAAACAUUUUUAUAUUUAAUUGAAUUUCUGAAAAACAGCCACAUUUUAUAUACCCCAAAUAAAUUGUCAUGUGUAACAAUAUGCUAAAAUGCAUUAAACAUGGCUAAAAAGUCACUUAGUGUACUAUACAAUAUGAAUAAUAAAUGUAAGACACUUGACAUCACAUUUUCCUAUAAUACUAUUAGUCUAUAAGUAGCAUUUACUAUACAGUAUAUUCUAUUGCUAAUUUAUGAAAUGAAUUCUCGAAAUUGUGUAGUGAGUCUCUACACAAAGCAUUAUUAUCAAAGAGUUAUAAGGGGAAUUUCCCAAUUAAAACUGAUAAUUAAAGGUAUUAUUUAAAUUCAUUAUAUUGCAGAGUAGAUAAGAAACUCCAUGUAAUAAAAUGUUUCUAUUUUGAUUCACGUAAGUUUAUAUUACACAAAACAAAUUGAACUCAAGAAUUAAGUGAUACACUUUAGAAAAUUAAAAAUAGCCAAAGUAAUGUUGAAAUGUGUUAUAUGGACAAUUUAUCAAUAAAAAUUAUUACUGUUAUUAAUUAGUAUAAUUCUUUCAUCCCUGUGAUAGUAAUUUAAGUUGAAUGGGUAUUUAGUAAAUAUAGGGAUGCAUCUUAAUAUCUAUAUUUGCUGAAAAGUGUUAAACACACAAUUAAAACCUAUCCUCAUUAAAAUGGACUUCUGUACACUAUAAUUUGAAUUAAAUAAUGAAUAUAUAAAU